AAUAUAUGUAUAUAUAAAACAUAGGAAAAUCUAAGAAGUUCAAAAAAUCAAAAGAAAUCAGUUAUCGGCUUUGCUUUUACAUGAAAGCCAAUGCUGAACAUAACUUUUAUUGCGCCCCGAAAUCGCGUAAAAAGCUACAGCAGUCAGAGAAAAGACACCAAAAAUGUUUAACAAUUACAACAAAUGAGCUGGAAUUCCAAUGAAAAGCAGCAGUGAAUGAAACUGCAGUGAAUUUUACAACUUCAAAACUUCGGUGCAGCAAUUGCCCGCGAGACAAGUGACCACAGCCAAUAAAUUACUCAAUUCAACGCCACUCACAAACGGCUGACGGGCCACUUUUAUUGCCGCAACACCUUUUUCUCAACGAAAUAUAUUUGUGUGUGUAGUUGAACUGAAGAUGGAUGAGGCUGAGGAUUGACUACUUCAUCCCAGCCAAGCGUUGGCAGUUGUUGGCCAAAAGGGUUAACAAACAAACAAUAAAAGCAAACAUACAACUAACAAAUGUCCAAUGUAGAUCAAAUGUAUGAUCAGUUGAUGAUCACUUUAACGAUCAGUAGUUGGAAGGCAAAAAAAAACAAAAAAAAAAAGCAUUGUUGUUUCUCAAAUAGCCUACUCUUUGGCUUUGUGGCUUAUCGCUUUUUCUGUAAUUUCAUUUCUAAUGGCAGUUAAGUGUAUGGCAUUUAUUUAUUAAUGUUUACAUCUGCAUGUAUAGCGCUUUGUGCGUACUUUUAUGCUCGUUAAUAAUGAGAAUUUAAAAUGCUAUAAAAUUAA